UGCCGGCUCUCCAAAGGCCGGGGUCACUGAAGAGGCGACUACUUCCUUGCCGGACGUGCGGACGGUUUCCCCCGUUCCAAUCCAUGGCUCCCGGAGCGACGUGAUCGCGACUUCUCGCGCUCGUGUUUCAUCCGGAUC
rfam:Methylobrevis pamukkalensis strain PK2 A6302_contig000117, whole genome shotgun sequence.